rnacentral:pre_miRNA from 1 species
GCUGAGGGGAACGUUGUCUGGUUCGAGACCAAUUCUUUCGAUACAAGAGAAGAAUGAACUCGGACCAGGCUUCAUUCCCCUCAGC